ACKGCUCAGUAACACGUCGGUAAUCUGCCCUAAGGUCAGGGAUAACCUCGCGAAAGUGAGGGUAAUACCUGAUAGGGAAAUUCGUCUGGAAGGACAUUUUCCCAGAAACUCGUGCCUUAGGAUGAGCCGGCGGCGGAUUAGGCUGUUGGCGGUGUAAUGGACCACCAAACCGAAGAUCCGUACGGGCCAUGAGAGUGGGAGCCCGGAGAGGGACACUGAGAUACUGGUCCCAGCCCUACGGGGUGCAGCAGGCGCGAAGCCUUUUCAAUGCACGCAAGUGUGAGAAGGGAAUUCCAAGUGCUCAAGUUUUACUUGGGCUUUUGCCAAGUGUAAAAAGCUUGGCGAAUAAGGGGUGGGUAAGACUGGUGCCAGCCGCCGCGGUAACACCAGCGCCUCGAGUGGGGAUCGCGAUUAUUGGGUCUAAAGCGUCCGUAGCAGGCUUUGUAAAUACUUUGUGAAAUCGGCAGGCAUAGCCUGUCGGCGUGCAGAGUAGACUGCAGGGCUUGAGACCGGGAGAUGUCAGAAGUAUUCCUAGGGUACCGGUAAAAUGGGUUAAUCCUGGGAGGACUACCGAUGGCGAAGGCAUCUGACAAGAACGGUUCUGACUGUGAGGGACGAAAGCUAGGGGAGCAAAACGGAUUAGAUACCCGAGUAGUCCUAGCCGUAAACGCUGUGAGCAAGGUAUUGCGCCUCCCACGAGGAUGCGCAGUGUCGAAACGAAGGUGUUAAGCUCACCACCAGGGAAGUACGGUCGCAAGGCUGAAACUUUAAGGAAUUGGCGGGGGAGCAC
rnacentral:rRNA from 1 species